CAGUCGCCGCGGGAAUACGGAGGAUCCAAGCGUUAUCCGGAAUCAUUGGGUUUAAAGGGUCCGUAGGCGGUCUUGUAAGUCAGUGGUGAAAGCCCAUCGCUCAACGGUGGAACGGCCAUUGAUACUGCAGGACUUGAAUUAUUGGGAAGUAACUAGAAUAUGUAGUGUAGCGGUGAAAUGCUUAGAGAUUACAUGGAAUACCAAUUGCGAAGGCAGGUUACUACCAAUUGAUUGACGCUGAUGGACGAAAGCGUGGGUAGCGAACAGGAUUAGAUACCCUGUAGUCCCUGUCUCUUAUACA
rnacentral:rRNA from 1 species